rnacentral:rRNA from 1 species
UGGGGAAUCUUGGACAAUGGGGGCAACCCUGAUCCAGCCAUGCCGCGUGAGUGAUGAAGGCCUUAGGGUCGUAAAGCUCUUUCGCCUGUGAAGAUAAUGACGGUAGCAGGUAAAGAAACCCCGGCUAACUCCGUGCCAGCAGCCGCGGUAAUACGGAGGGGGUUAGCGUUGUUCGGAAUUACUGGGCGUAAAGCGCACGUAGGCGGACCAGAAAGUUGGGGGUGAAAUCCCGGGGGCUCAACCCCGGAACUGCCUCCAAAACUAUUGGUCUAGAGUUCGAGAGAGGUGAGUGGAAUUCCAAGUGUAGAGGUGAAAUUCGUAGAUAUUUGGAGGAACACCAGUGGCGAAGGCGGCUCACUGGCUCGAUACUGACGCUGAGGUGCGAAAGUGUGGGGAGCAAACAGGAGUUAGAUACCCUGGGUAGUCCACACCGUAAAACGAUGAAUGCCAGUCGUCGGAUAGCAUGCUAUUCGGUGACACA